AGAGUUUGCAGAUUCUGGAGCAACCCUCACCAUAUUUGUUGCCAUCAUUCUAUAUCCAUGGUUUUGUGGAACAUUCUUCUUACAAUAAUUGGCAGCCUGUCCAUUGUUUUGACGAUUCAUUAUCCAUUUUUCUGCAUCAUUCCACUUCGAUGGCAUCGGUCUCAAGUGAGACCUUGAAAUGGAACUGUGUACAGACCUCUCCCCUUUGUGAAAUUCGAAACUAGAUGAACUUGCAUUACUGUCAUAAUCCAGAUUUUCAUCUUCUACUGAUUUUGAAGGGUGAACUGUGCUGGAAUUACAACCAUCACCUUUCAGACAUUGCUG
rnacentral:misc_RNA from 1 species